GUGUCUUCUGAACUAGGCCAGUAGGAUGUGUCCAGACUCGUCCCUCUCAUUUAAGAUAUGAAGUGUCCCUGAAGCAUUUGAAAAAUCUGUCUUCAUCUUAUUAUCUAGAAAUAAUUAAGUAUUGUAUCUGAUUCUUGGUUUCCACGCAAUCAAAUGACACUUUUGGUGUUUCUAAGUCUGGAUUUCAUAAACAACAAUGGAAAAAAACACACAAGCACACUUUUAUUGCAUUGUGAACUUGUGAAACAGUUUGUUUAGGGACUUUUCUGUGUCUAGGCAGCCUACAAUACAACAACAAGCUGUUGCUGAUUCCCCCAGGGUUUUUAUUCCAAAGUGUCUUUCCCAGCAGUUUUUUUUUUUUUUUUGCUCAGGCUUCUAUCCGACACUAUUGAUGUACCAGUGGGCACAAUGGGGAAUAAAGGUGGCUUCAGUGCAGUCCAUUGCCUCUCUCCCUUCUCACAGCGGAGUAAAGUGCUGAUCAUUGGGUUGGAAAGACCUUGCGUAGGCUGAUUCUAACAAAGCCAAUGCUGGCCAAAGCCAUAGACACAUGAAAGACUAGGGGUUAAGCCUGGACAGAUCAAUUUCUCUCAGCAACUCUCCGUGUCCCUGGCACUAAACAGGCAGAGCCUACAAUGGCUUGUUUUCUGUGGCAUAGAGCUGUGCCAUUCUCCUCACUGAUCCACUUUACAAAAGCCUAUUACAGAGGUGCCAAUUGAGCUUGAACAAUCACCCACAAAAGCUGUUAUUUACAUAGAUUCUGUCCCCAGGCUCAACCCCUCUGCCCCCCGAAAAAUUGUCCAGUGGUGGACUAGUUGAGCUCUUCUCACUGUCUGAGAACACUUUUGGGUCCAAUUGCAGAAGUGAGAUCACUGAGCCGUAAAUACAUGGAAGCCUUUGUAGAUUUCUGUUUUUGUUCACCUCUGAUCACGCCGUCCAGGCCUGAGUGCCCAUCUGGAGGCCACAUGGUCCAUCAACCCAGUCUCCUAAACCCAGUCAAGAGGAGAAUUCUCUGUAUAGGAGUUCUAUUUCCAGGGCAUGCCAAUGUCAUGGCCUCUAGGAUCUUGUGACCGUGGUGUCUGGAAUAGUGAACACUGACUGUUAAUAUGCCAAAGUUAAAAUCUGACUUCAUGUGUAUCAGUGCUGACAUAAUUUAUAUUUGCUUGUGUUUUGUUUAUUAAAUUUGAUGGGAAGUCUAGAGUUUUGUGGGUUUUAGGGGGGCUGAGAGGAUUGGGGUCAGCUUUGUGUUUUAAUGUGCACGUAAUUAUGACUAGGUUAAAUUUCUGCUCGGCUCAGCAAAUUUAGAUCCUCUCAGAGGGCAAAGGCCAGUGUGUGUUAUGAGUGUAGUGGGUCUCCUCGAGUGACAGCACAGCUGGAGCAUACAAACACACACACAUACACAAGUACACACACAUAGAGAAAAAAAUAACCCACAGUACUCCCGUUUGCUCAUGGUAAUUAUAUAUUAUGUAACUGAUAUGUCUCUGUUGUGGCACGAAGCCGGUUAACUGGAGCUGUCAUUGUUUUUUAAUUUUUAAUAAGAUAAAACAUUGGCUAAUUCUACAUCCUUUGAGGCAAAAUUUAUAUGACGUUGUUUAGCCAGUAAAGUGAAGGUUUGCACAAGCACACUGAUAAGAAAAAAUAACAAACAUCUUUGCACACACUAUUGAGACAAGAAAAUAUCGCUUACACUGCUAUGUCAAAGUCCUGUUCCUGAUUCAGCAACUACUAGUGCUGCAUUUAGGACAAAUUCAUAAAUGUCAACAAAAUGCCUACAACACUGAGGAAGUAUUUUAUGGAUGAAUACAUGUAACUGCUCUAGAUCUAAAUCUUAAGUGUAUGUUUGAGUGCACCAUGAAGUCACCGUUUUCCCAUGUGAUACAGUUCAAAACAUAUUGACUUUAAAACUUGACAUAUGAAACCAGGUCUGAAUACUCUGUGAAAAACUUACCAGGAACUCCCUGGUAAGACCUUGCUGCUCUGCAAACAUUAUUAGUUGACAUAAUCAUGAAGUGGUAAUACAACUAAAUAUCUAACUAAAACAUUAAGUUCAAAGGGAGUGCUGCAUUCUAGCCUGAGAACAUACUUUGCGUUUGUUGUUUGAACUGAAUUUCUGAAUAUGGGAAUCAUAAAGAAUUAAAUGAUUCUGAAUGUGGUUCCAUUUCCUUAUCAGUUCCGUUAAUUUUUCUUUUUGUAAGGAACAUUUGGAGUAAAUGCAAGUCCAUUAUCAAAUGAUCUGCUGACAAAAUACAUAACGUGUUUCUUUAGAAUGACCAGUCAGUAUAGUUACAGUCUGAUUCACUAAAGAACAGACUCAUUCAAGUGAGUUGGUUUUAAUAAAACAAACCAAAAAGAACCUCUUCAUAAGAGUUAAUAGUUCAGGAAUGGCCAUAUUGAAUUUUGCCACUAUCCUGACUAUAAGGUCCGUUUGUUAUGGUAUUUCAUUGCCAAUGGCAGAAGAGUGUAAGAGAUCAACAUUGACACCUCAUGGUUUGAAAAUACAACAACUUAUGGUGAUUUGUAACUGUUUUAUGUUUUGGUGACUGAUUUGUAUGAAUUCUUACAAUCUAAUUUGUGGGUUUUUGUACAAUCUGCUGACUGAAAAUUCAGUUUAGAGGAGGACUUUCCUGCUCUCAUGAGGUUGGGUUGGAAAAUUCCAAGUAGCAUACCAGAGAUCCAAUUGAGCAUGGGAUCUGAUUAUAAAAUACACCACACCUGUAUUUUUUUAAAUGCAACCGGUUCUAAAUAAGAACCAAUUUUCGGUUGCCAAUCUUUACUGUGAAAAUUCUUUGAACUGUUAUAUCACACAUACAUACACGUCUAUAUAUGUGGUUAGAUCAUGAUCAAGUCCCAGUAAUUUUAGUCACUUAAAGUGCUUUACAUUGUGAGGGGGGAUCUCCUCAUCCACCACCAUUGUGCAGCAUCCACCUGGAUCAUGCGACGGCAGCCAUAGUGCGCCAGAAGGCCCACCACACAACAGCUUAUUGGUGGAGAGAGACAGAGUGAUGAAG
ensembl:lncRNA